rnacentral:rRNA from 1 species
UUGACCUCGGAUCAGGUAGGGAUACCCGCUGAACUUAAGCAUAUCAAUAAGCGGAGGAUC